rnacentral:lncRNA from 1 species
CUUUUUGAUAACAUCAAUUAAGAUCUUAAGAGAUUUUUAAAGAAAAAUAAAAAAGACUCCCCCUCACUAUAGCAAUCAUAAAGAAUAUUUUAAUUUGCUCAUAUAGAAGAUAUGGCCAUUCAUAAUAUUUUAUAACACAUAUAUGAGGUAUUUUUCAUAUCACAAAAUUAAGAUAUUUCAAUUGAUGCCAUUCAUAAAAAUCAAUCCAAAUGAC